GCCCGGGUGGCUCAGUCGGUUGAGCGUCCGACUCUGGCUCAGGUCACGAUCUCACAGCUCGUGGGUUCGAGCCCCGCGUCGGGCU
rnacentral:tRNA from 1 species